rnacentral:rRNA from 1 species
UACGGAGGGUGCGAGCGUUGUUCGGAAUUACUGGGCGUAAAGGGCGCGUAGGCGGCCGAUCAAGUCAUAUGUGAAAGCCCACGGCUCAACCGUGGAAGUGCAUGUGAAACUGGUUGGCUUGAGUACUGGAGGGGAGUGUGGAAUUCCCGGUGUAGAGGUGAAAUUCGUAGAUAUCGGGAGGAAUACCGGUGGCGAAGGCGACACUCUGGCCAGAUACUGACGCUGAGGCGCGAAAGCGUGGGGAGCAAAC